GAGACCCCAUAGAACAUCUCAGAGAGGUCCUGAGGGCCUCCAAUUCACUGUGGGUUUGUAGGACAUGGUGGAGACCCCAUAAAACAUCUCAGAGAGGUCCUGAGAUUGUCAUGAGGGGCUCCAAAGUCACUGUGGGUUUGUAGGACAUGGUGGUGACCCCACAGAACAUCUCCAGGGACCCCAAACCCUCACGGGGACUCCCAAGUUGAGCCUGAGAACCUGUAGGGCACCGUGGGGACACCAUAAAACAUCUCCAGGAGGUCCUGAGGUCACCUCGGGGACACUGGGGUCACUGCCAGCUCUGUAGGACACCGUGAGGACACCAUAAAGUGUCACCCUGGGUCACCUCGGGGACACUGGGGUCACUGCCAGGUCUGUAGGACACCGUGGGGACACCAUAAAGUGUCACCCUGGGUCACCUCGGGGGUCUGUGGGACACUGGGGACCCCCCAUGGGGACAGGUCGGUGCUUUUGG